rnacentral:piRNA from 1 species
GAGGCAUCCAGAUACCCAGGACGGACUUC